UACAGAGGUCCCAAGCGUUGUUCGGAUUCCCUGGGCGUAAAGGGUGCGUAGGUGGGCAGGUAAGUCAGUGGUGAAAUCUCCGAGCUUAACUCGGAAACUGCCAUUGAUACUAUCUGUCUUGAAUUAUCUGGAGGUGAGCGGAAUAUGUCAUGUAGCGGUGAAAUGCUUAGAUAUGACAUAGAACACCAAUUGCGAAGGCAGCUCACUACGGAUAUAUUGACACUGAGGCACGAAAGCGUGGGGAUCAAACAGG
rnacentral:rRNA from 1 species